AUCCAUGAAGAAUUAAGCUUUAAUAAAGAAUAGAGAAUGGAUCCUAAGCGUUAGAUCUAACUAAUCCAAUGGCUACAAAUAAAACGAAUAAAAUAUAUAAAAAGGAAAAAGAAAUGCAUUAACAUUAAAGAGCUCCGAUUUUUUACAGUGCAAGGGUGAAAAACGUAAAAUACACAUCUCGGUAAAUCUGGAAGAUUCCAUGAUUUCCGACUUUCUCUCUGCCAAAUCUUCACGAUGAUUCGCGUGUAGAAUAGGGUUGAAAUUCAGACGACUCAUAUCUUCUCCACUAAGAAUCGAAAAUCUGUGAAGAAUUAUCCUGCGGAAUGGAAGAACAACUGGGUUUGUUCAAUUUCUGGGGAAACGGAACGCGAAAUCGAAAGAAGGAUGGGCUGCUGCUUAUUGAGGAGGUAAUCAUUUGGGGAUGGCCACUGCAGACUGUUGGAUUGCUUGGUGCAGCUCGAGUCGAACACAUGGAUCCCCGAGUACAGAAGGAGCUUCAUCGGGCACAACCCGAAGUUGAUUUCAGCUGCGAUGGAGUUCUUCAGAUUCAAGCUCACGAUCCAGUUUAAGAAGAUGGAAAAAGAGUUCUGGUUGGCACCUGCAUUUGGAGGCCAAAUUUUGCAAUAAAAUAUAUAUAUUCACUUUAUAGAAAAAAAAGUGUGUUCUAUUCAAUAAAAGUGAUGUUAUGUUCAUUGUAAAAUUGAGAUUAUUCGUUAUAUAAUAUAUUUAUGAAUGGUAUACUUUAUUUUUA